rnacentral:rRNA from 1 species
CAGCAGCCACGGUAAUACGGAGGGAGCUAGCGUUGUUCGGAAUUACUGGGCGUAAAGCGCACGUAGGCGGUUAUUCAAGUCAGAGGUGAAAGCCCGGGGCUCAACCCCGGAACUGCCUUUGAAACUAGAUGACUGAAAUCUUGGAGAGGUCAGUGGAAUUCCGAGUGUAGAGGUGAAAUUCGUAGAUAUUCGGAAGAACACCAGUGGCGAAGGCGACUGACUGGACAAGUAUUGACGCUGAGGUGCGAAAGCGUGGGGAGCAAACAGGAUUAGAUACCCCGGUAGUCCCUGUCUCUUAUAA